UUUAAGUUUUCCCAUUUGAAGUACAAUUCAGUCAUUUCUGGAGUUAAAACCAGUAUGUUUUGGGUAAAUGGACAAUUCAAGAUACUUUCCAAUUCCUGCUUCCAUCUAGGAAAAGUAGGGGAAAAUUGAAGAGGAUUGGACUUACGCCUGAAAUAUCAACCACCUGACUGAGCUUGUGAGGGACCCCGCAGAAGCACACUCCUGCUGGCUGUGGGAGUACGGGGUGGCUCCUGGAACUAUUUGGAGCAAACAGUGGCUACAGAAGACAGUCUCUGGGGAAGCCCCUGUCUGUGACUUU